rnacentral:rRNA from 1 species
AGUUCGAUUAUGGCUCAGAUUGAACGCUGGCGGAAUGCUUUACACAUGCAAGUCGAACGGCAGCACGGACUUCAGUCUGGUGGCGAGUGAACGGUGAGUAAUGUAUCAGACGUCCUGCCUAGUAGCGGGGAUAACUACGCGAAAGCGUAGCUAAUACCGCAUACGCCCUUCGGGGAAAAGCGGGGGACCUUCGGGCCUCGCACUAUUAGAGCGGCCGAUAUCGGAUUAGCUAGUUGGUGGGAGUAACGGCUCACCAAGGCAGCGAUCCAUGCCUGGUUGAGAGGACGACCAGCCACACUGGGACACGAGACACGGCCCAGACUCCUACGGGGAGGCAGCAGUGGGGAAUUUUGGACAAUGGGAAACCCUGAUCCAGCCAUCCCGCGUGUGCGAUGAAGGCCUUCGGGUUGUAAAGCACUUUUGGCAGGGGAAAGAAACGGCACGGGAUAAUACCCCGUGCAACUGACGGUACCUGCAGAAUAAGCACCGGCUAACUACGGUAGCAGCCGCGGUAAUACGUAGGGUGCAAGCGUUAAUCGAAUUACUGGGCGUAAAGCGUGCGCAGGCGGUUCGGAAAGAAAGAUGUGAAAUCCCAGAGCUUAACUUUGGAACUGCAUUUUUAACUACCGAGCUAGAGUGUGUCAGAGAGGUGGAAUUCCGCGUGUAGCAGUGAAAUGCCGUAGAUAUGCUAAGAGGAACACCGAUGGCGAAGCAGCCUCCUGGGAUAACACUGACGCUCAUGCACGAAAAAGCGUGGGAGCAAACAGGAUUAGAUACCCUGGUAGUCCACGCCCUAAACGAUGUCAACUAGCUGUUGGGGCCUUCGGGCCUUGGUAGCGCAGCUAACGCGUGAAGUUGACCGCCUGGGGAGUACGGUCGCAAGAUUAAAACUCAAAGGGAAUUGACGGGGACCGCACAAGCGGUGGAUGAUGUGGAUUAAUUCGAUGCAACGCGAAAAGCCUUACCUACCCUUGACAUGUCUGGAAUCCCGAAGAGAUUUGGGAGUGCUCGCAAGAGAACCGGAACACAGGUGCUGCAUGGCUGUCGUCAGCUCGUGUCGUGAGAUGUUGGGUUAAGUCCCGCAACGAGCAACCCUUGUCAUUAGUUGCUACGAAGGGCACUCUAAUGAGACUGCCGGUGAUAUGACAAACCGGAGGGUGGGGAUGACGUCAAGUCCUCAUGGCCCAUAUGCGGUAGGGCUUCACACGUCAUGCAAUGGUCAGGACAGAGGUCGCCAACCCGCGAGGGGAGCCAAUCCCGAAACCCGAUCGUAGUCCGGAUCGCAGUCUGCAACUCGACUGCGUGAAGUCGGAAUCGCUAGUAAUCGCGGAUCAGCAUGUCGCGGUGAAUACGUUCCCGGGUCUUGCGCACACACCGCCCGUCACACCAUAGGAGUGGGUUUUACCAGAAGUAGUUAGCCUAACCGUAAGGAGGGCGAUUACCACCACGGUAGGAUUCAUGACUGGGGUGAAGUCAUAACAAGGUAG